rnacentral:misc_RNA from 1 species
AACCAUAGAAACCUGCGGAGUACCUGCGGAAGGAUCAUUACCGAGUGCGGGUCCGCGUGGCCCAACCUCCCACCCGUGCCUAUUGUACCCUGUUGCUUCGGCGGGCCCGCCAGCCUUCGGGCUGGCCGCCGGGGGGCGUCUCGCCCCCGGGCCCGUGCCCGCCGGAGACCCCAACAUGAACCCUGUUCUGAAAGCUUGGUGUCUGAGUGUGAUUGUUUGCAAUCAGUUAAAACUUUCAAC